GGCAAAGCCCAGCCCGCCACACUCGGGGCCUCCGUCCCACCAGGAAAGUGCGUCCAGCAGCUGGAGGACUCAGGCCUGACGGGGCGGCCACGACCGAGCCGGCGGCAGGAGCCUUCCCAGGGGAGUAUGUCGUCAUGAUCCGCGAUGUGACCGACCCUCCCUUCCUGGGCCACACGCUGCCCACCGCCUUCAAACACCUUCGGGUCUUGGGGAAGGGGACGGACCAGCAGCCCCACGUCCCUGGAGAAGGCCCCGAACCCCCGAGCUAGGGGAACCACCCCCAUGCUCCUGACAGCCACCAGUAUGCUCCUCGGGAGACCGUCCUCACUUGGAAUGGAGAGAAGCCCCCUCUGCUCUGAGGAGCACCUUCCUGCACUUCCGCGGUGGGACUGAGUGCGGGCUGGAGGGCCCCCCUCACGCAUCCCAUGGCUUCAAUAAAACGCUCA